rnacentral:rRNA from 1 species
UACGUAGGGGGCUAGCGUUGUCCGGAAUCAUUGGGCGUAAAGAGCGUGUAGGCGGCUCGGUAAGUCCGCUGUGAAAGUCCAGGGCUCAACCCUGGAAUGCCAGUGGAAACUGUCGAGCUAGAGUCCGGAAGAGGCGAGUGGAAUUCCUGGUGUAGCGGUGAAAUGCGCAGAUAUCAGGAGGAACACCAAUGGCGAAGGCAGCUCGCUGGGACGGUACUGACGCUGAAACGCGAAAGCGUGGGGAGCAAACAGG